AAAGAAGCUCAUUUCUCUGGAAAAUUCAGAGGCUAGAAAUGGUAGGGCAGCAAAAUGAAUGGUCCAUACCUGUAAGAUCAAUACGGCCGGAAAAUGCUGCCCUCUGGAGUCGCCUGCGGUGUCGCGCAUACUCCCCUUUCCGAGCAUUAUCUAUCAUCACGUCGCUUAACUUCCUCGAAACUCUCGCAGGCGAGCAACCUCAACAGGGAACCGAACGCUUCAGCAGAAAAACAUGCCGCGUUGCUCCAGAGCUUGCCUUGCACUAUCAGAUGCUGUCCUUGCGGAAGAAGACAUCUUCUCGAGGCUUCAGUGGCGGCGGCGGCUCUGCUUCCUCUUUACGUAAGAGCGGGGAACAGCUUAGCCCUUGAAGCGAAGGGUUCCAAGGAGAAGGAGAAGUUUCGUGCUGCGAGGCCUGAUUGGUAUGAGGAAUUGUUUGCUAAGGCUAUGGAGGAAGGUAUGAAGUCUUAUGAAGCUGAGGUUGCAGGCUUUAAAACAGAUCUCUUUGGCAAAUUUAAAGGAACUUGUAAGAAAGUAUUAGAGCUUGGUGUAGGUGCGGGCCCUAAUUUCAAGUACUAUGCGCAUGCCAACGAUCUUCAUGUUAUCGGUGUUGAUCCGAAUAAACAAAUGGAGAAAUAUGCUCGUGUUGCAGCAUUAGCGGUUGGCUUGCAACCAACAAGCUUUACUUUUAUGGAAGGGGUUGGAGAAGAUUUACCUGUGGAAGAUGGUUCCAUGGAUGCUGUUAUUGGUACACUGGUAUUAUGUUCUGUUGAGGAUGUCAAUUUGACAUUGCAAGAAGUGAAGAGAGUGUUAAAGGUGGGUGGUCUAUAUUUAUUUAUGGAGCAUGUAGCGGCUCGCGAUGGUUCUCUUCUCCGCUUCACACAAAGCAUUCUUGAUCCGCUCCAGCAGUUUGUUGCUGAUGGGUGUCAUCUCACACGAAAAACAGGAGAGCUGAUUUCGCAGGCAGGUUUCUAUAAUGUGAAUACUAACAUGAUAUUUGUACCAAAUAUGUCUAUAAUAAGCCCCCAUGUAUAUGGAAUAGCUUGCAAAUAAUUCCAGUGAUGCUUAUUAUUUGAUGACUGUUAAUAUUAUGCUCAAUAAACCAUCUUUCUAUGAGCUUUUAUAUAUUGUAGUCCAAGUUAAUCUACCUUCAUGAAUCCAUUGAAACUGUUGGGUUGAAUAUGUUGAAUGAGGGAGAUUAAUAUGUUAAAACUUUAUUAUGUUUGUUAAUUAUUAACUCAAUGUAUAUUGUGUUGUGGUAUACCAAGUAAUUGAGAUUUGGCAUGCUUGUAUAUUUCUUAUUUUUAGAUGAAUGAUCAGAUGGUUGAGAUAAAGCUUUGCCACUAGGUCUCAUGAUAUUCCUGAAAUUCUUCUGAAUUUUUGUUUGAUGGAUUGGAUAUAACUUGAUUUCUUGGUAUUCCCUUAACUAUGCAUUUCAGACUUUCAUCAAUUUUGUGUUCAUAAUUUUUUUUUAAAAAAAAACUCCAUAUUCAUAGUUAGAUAAUGAGAUUGAGUUAUGUUCCCAGUUCUAUAUUUUCAUGCAAUGGGAGGAUCUUUUAUGUAAGUUAUGGCAUGUUUUCGUGUAGUCUUGUCAGAUGCGGUAACUAUCUACAUGAGUAAUUUGAAUAAUUUGCAUUGCAAAAAACAUCAAUGGAAUCUCAUGUAUUAAAGUGAAACAAAAUAUGUUUGUUUGCAGUUCAGAAGAACUACAUAUAAAGUCAAUGGCUACGUUGAUUUAGAUUUUUCUAAAGAAUUUGGCAAAAAUGUCACUUACAUGACAUUUGUUCACUAUUGAAUGUUGUGUGAUCAGUUGAAAAACUACUUUACAAUUACAGGUCAGAGUGGCGUUGCAGACAAUAUAACGCUCAAAUUUUUAGUGUCACAUGAGAAACAUCAUUAUUACUUAAUUUUUAAAAGUGAAAUACAUCUUUUUCCACAUAGGUCAUCCAACUUCAGAUGUUUGAUAUGGGAAUACCAAAGAAUUGUGUGGUAUGACUCAUAUACAAAAAAUGGGACAAAUGUUGGAGCGGAACAGAGCCAACUAGCAGAGCGGGUGAGCGAAGCUCGCAAGCGGAGUGGAGCUGGAGCAUUUGUUCAAUUGGUAG